GAGGUUAUAGCUCCAAGUGGUAGAGUGCAUGCUUAGCAUGCAUGAGGUCCUGGGUUCAAUCCCCAGCACCUCC
rnacentral:tRNA from 1 species